rnacentral:rRNA from 1 species
ACAUGCGAUCAUACCAGCACUAAUGCACCAGAUUCCAUCAGAACUCCGCAGUUAAGGGUGCUUUGGAAAGAGUAGUACUAGGAUGGAUUACCUCCCGGAAAGUCUUCGUGUUGCAUCCC